GACGAACGCUGGCGGCGUGCUUAACACAUGCAAGUCGAACGGAAAGGCCCUGCUUUUGUGGGGUGCUCGAGUGGCGAACGGGUGAGUAACACGUGAGUAACCUGCCCUUGACUUUGGGAUAACUUCAGGAAACUGGGGCUAAUACCGGAUAGGAGCUCCUGCUGCAUGGUGGGGGUUGGAAAGUUUCGGCGGUUGGGGAUGGACUCGCGGCUUAUCAGCUUGUUGGUGGGGUAGUGGCUUACCAAGGCUUUGACGGGUAGCCGGCCUGAGAGGGUGACCGGCCACAUUGGGGCUGAGAUACGGCCCAGACUCCUACGGGAGGCAGCAGUGGGGAAUAUUGCACAAUGGGCGGAAGCCUGAUGCAGCAACGCUGCGUGCGGGAUGACGGCCUUCGGGUUGUAAACCGCUUUCGCCUGUGACGAAGCGUGAGUGACGGUAAUGGGUAAAGAAGCACCGGCUAACUACGUG
rnacentral:rRNA from 1 species